GGGGGAAGAAGAAGAUAAAAGAAAAGGGUAGGUGUGGAGGGGGUAGGUAGGAUUGAUUUUGACUUUUUUUAAAUAUUUUUAAUAUGUUUUGUUUUAUUUAUUGUUUUUUAUUUUUUGAAUUUUAAAAUUUAGCAUUUUUUUUAAUUCCUUUUAAUUUUUUACCUAAUUUUUAAUUAUUGUAAUAUUUUUAUUUAUUGUAUUGUAUUUAAAUUAAUGUAAUAUAUAUUGUUAAUUUUAAUUAAAUAUUAA
rnacentral:lncRNA from 1 species